AAUGGCCUCUAUACAAAGCUAUCGCCGAAGGAGGGGUUUUGCGCCUGAUUAGCUGGUUGGAGGGGUAACGGCCCAACAAGGCGAUGAUCAGUAGCCGGUCUGAGAGGAUGAACGGCCACAUUGGGACUGAGACACGGCCCAGACUCCUACGGGAGGCAGCAGUGGGGAAUCUUCCGCAAUGGACGAAAGUCUGACGGAGCAACGCCGCGUGAGUGAAGAAGGUCUUCGGAUUGUAAAGCUCUGUUAUACGGGACGAAAAAGACGGAUGCCAACAGUAUCCGUCCGUGACGGUACCGUAAGAGAAAGCCACGGCUAACUACGUGCCAGCAGCCGCGGUAAAU
rnacentral:rRNA from 1 species